UACGUAGGGGGCUAGCGUUGUCCGGAAUCAUUGGGCGUAAAGAGCGUGUAGGCGGCCCGGUAAGUCCGCUGUGAAAGUCAAGGGCUCAACCCUUGAAUGCCGGUUGAUACUGUCGGGCUAGAGUCCGGAAGAGGCGAGUGGAAUUCCCGGUGUAGCGGUGAAAUGCGCAGAUAUCGGGAGGAACACCAAUGGCGAAGGCAGCUCGCUGGGACGGUACUGACGCUGAGACGCGAAAGCGUGGGGAGCAACAGG
rnacentral:rRNA from 1 species